rnacentral:misc_RNA from 1 species
ACCAUCCUUAUCAUUUAAUUGUUUGUCCCAAUUCCCUGAAUCAUGCUUCUCUUGUGACUGUGAGUUGGCAGACCUUGAAUCCAAACUAGAUGGACUUUCUUGAUCAAAAGAUUGACCACUCCGAUGGGUUGCAGAACCUGGAUAAUAAUCGUGAUCUGUACUACUUGGGCCAACAGGUGGCUUGCUUGAAGCAAGUGGACCACUUUUGGACAUCUCACUUCCAGAUAUACCCAUUUUGGAAUCUUUAGCAGCACCGACAACACUGGAAG